UACCGAUGCGAAGCAGCUCUGCAUCAUAUGACACUGAGUCGAAGCGUGGUAGCAACAGGAUAGAUACCUGUAGUCACGCGUAAACGAUGUCUACUAGUCGUUGGGUCCCUGAGGACUUAGUGACGCAGCUAACGCAAUAAGUAGACCGCCUGGGGAGUACGGCCGCAAGGUUAAAACUCAAAUGAAUUGACGGGGGCCCGCACAAGCGGUGGAGCAUGUGGUUUAAUUCGAUGCAACGCGAAGAACCUUACCUGGUCUUGACAUAUCUAGAAUCCUGCAGAGAUGCGGGAGUGCCUUCGGGAAUUAGAAUACAGGUGCUGCAUGGCUGUCGUCAGCUCGUGUCGUGAGAUGUUGGGUUAAGUCCCGCAACGAGCGCAACCCUUGUCCUUAGUUACCAGCGGGUUAAGCCGGGAACUCUAAGGAUACUGCCAGUGACAAACUGGAGGAAGGCGGGGACGACGUCAAGUCAUCAUGGCCCUUACGACCAGGGCUACACACGUGCUACAAUGGUAGGUACAGAGGGCAGCUACACAGCGAUGUGAUGCGAAUCUCAAAAAGCCUAUCGUAGUCCAGAUUGGAGUCUGCAACUCGACUCCAUGAAGUAGGAAUCGCUAGUAAUCGCGGAUCAGAAUGCCGCGGUGAAUACGUUCCCGGGCCUUGUACACACCGCCCGUCACACCAUGGGARUKGRUUGCACCAGAAGUGGAUAGCCUA
rnacentral:rRNA from 1 species